AUUGAACGCUGGCGGCAGGCUUAACACAUGCAAGUCGAGCGGAGAUGAGGUGCUUGCACCUUAUCUUAGCGGCGGACGGGUGAGUAAUGCUUAGGAAUCUGCCUAUUAGUGGGGGACAACAUUCCGAAAGGAAUGCUAAUACCGCAUACGCCCUACGGGGGAAAGCAGGGGAUCUUCGGACCUUGCGCUAAUAGAUGAGCCUAAGUCGGAUUAGCUAGUUGGUGGGGUAAAGGACUACCAAGGCGACGAUGUGUAGCGGGUCCAAGAGGAUGGACCGCCACACUGGGACUCCGACACAGCCCAGACUCCUCCGGCAGGCAGCAGUGGGGAAUAUUGGACAAUGGGUGGAAGCCUGAUCCAGCCCUGACGCGUGUGUGCAGAAGGCCUUUUGGUUGUAAAGCACCUUACGCGAGGAGGAGACUACCUGGAUUAAUACUCUAGGAUAGUGGACGUUACUCGCAGAAUAAGCACCGGCUAACUCUGUGCCAGCAGCCGCCGUAAAAC
rnacentral:rRNA from 1 species